rnacentral:tRNA from 1 species
AACUACUAAGUGAUCCUUUCAAAUUCAGAGAAACCCUGGAAUUAGAAAUGGGCAAUCCUGAGCCAAAUCCUGUUUUCCAAAAAAAAAAAGAAUUCAAUCAAAAGAAUCAAAAAAGGAUCAAAAAAGGAUAGGUGCAGAGACUCAAUGGAAGCUGUUCUAAAAAAUGGAGUUGGACUGCUGCAUUACAUUAGUCAAGUCAAGUAAUCCUUGCAUCGAAAUUUUCAAAAAGAUGAAGGAUAACCUUUCUUUCUAUAAAACUAUAAAAAAAAAAGACUUUAUGAAUCAAUUGGAAGUUGAAAAAAGAAUCAAAUAUGAUUUGAUAAAAUCAUUUACUCCAAAGUCUGAUAUAUCUUUUUAAAAAUGGAUUANUCAGAUGAGAAUAAAGAUAGAGUCCCAUUCUAUAUGUCAGUUUUUAC